rnacentral:lncRNA from 1 species
GGCCCCAGGCGACAAUGCCGGGCGUUCCCGGACCUGGCGCCGCAGGGCUUGGGGCAGGGGCGCCGAGGGAGCGGGUGCUGGGCGGAAGCCCCUGGCCGGGGCGAGCGUAGGUGACCUGCGGGGGCUCUCCCCACCCCGCAGGAGCCCCCUCAUUGUCUGCCGCGAGAUGGGGAGUGGGCGUGCCCGACGCAUUCGCCUCCUCCGUGACUCGGCACGGCACCGAGUCCGGGAGGAGCCGGCGCCUGAGUCCCGGCCAAGGCUCGGGCGCCCGCGCCCUGGGCUCCGGCUCGUCCCCGUGUGAAACAGCCGGUUCCCGAGCCCGUGGGCCUCCUGGCCGGCGCGAGCGACUGCGACCCGCGGGGGUGACAAUGAGGACUUAGCACGCAGGGAAGUCCCCCAGCCCGGGCGGCCGCGGUCCCGGUGACCCGAGGAGAGCGCGGAGCCGGUGCCCACAUUGCAGCCCUGUCACCCUGUGCGGAAGUGCAGGGCCCUCGGGAAGAACCCGGCGCGGGACCCGGAGCCUGUUCGAGAUCUUCAGGCCCCGGUCGGCGGCAGCGUAGAUGGCUCGACUCCCCGCCGGCAUCCGCUUCAUCGCCUCCUUCUCCAGGGACCAGUGGUGAGUCCUGGCGGGCGGGGGGCUGCGUGGGGCUCACUACCCACGGGGGAGCCUCUGACUGCCCAGUGGCGUCCUUCCUCUGUGGCAUCGGGGCUCCCUCGUGGUCUUCCAUGUAACUGCAGAGAGGGGCCCACUGACUCCUGGCAGGGUUAGCACACGGCGCCGAGCCCCGGUGAGUGGCCGGCUAGCGAGUGUUCAGAGCUGGCCAGAGACCCCUCCCUGCGGGUCACGGCCAGGCAGGACACAUCUGCUGCCCUCUUAGGUUGAGUGUGUGGGGCCCAACGCCGUUCAACAGACCAAUGACAGGGCAGUGAGAGAGCAGACAGGC